rnacentral:rRNA from 1 species
CCGGCUAAGGACGUGCCAAGGGCAGGGGUAAACGGUAAGGGGCGAGGGUUGGUCGGGAUUAUUGGGCGUAAAGGGCACGCAGGCAGCCUGACAAGUCUGGUGUGAAAUCUACGGGCUCAACUCGGGAAACGCGCUGGAAACUGGCAAGCUAGAGUAGUGGAGGGGGAGUCGGAAUUCCUAGUGUAGGGGUGAAAUCUGUUGAUAUUAGGAAGAACACCGGUGGCGAAGGCGGACUCCUGGCUGAAUACUGACGCUGAGGUGCGAAAGCAUAGGGAGCAAACAGGAUUAGUACCCGGGAGUC